GUGAGAUGUUGGGUUAAGUCCCGCAACGAGCGCAACCCUCGCUUCUAGUUGCCAGCAUUCAGUUGGGCACUCUAGAGGGACUGCCGGUGAUAAGCCGGAGGAAGGUGGGGAUGACGUCAGGUCAUCAUGGCCCUUACGGCCAGGGCUACACACGUGCUACAAUGGUGCGCACAGAGGGCUGCAAACCCGCGAGGGGGAGCCAAUCUCACAAAACGCAUCGUAGUCCGGAUCGCAGUCUGCAACUCGACUGCGUGAAGUCGGAAUCGCUAGUAAUCGUGAAUCAGAAUGUCACGGUGAAUACGUUCCCGGGCCUUGUACACACCGCCCGUCACACCAUGGGAGUGGAUUGCACCAGAAGUGGUUAGUCUAACCGUAAGGGGGACGAUCACCACGGUGUGGUUCAUGACUGGGGUGAAGUCG
rnacentral:rRNA from 12 species